rnacentral:rRNA from 1 species
AUGGCGCUCCCUCGCCUCCUCCUUCUCCUAUGGAGCUGCAGCGGCCUAACAAUCCUGCUGCUGGCCGGCGGCGGGCUGAGAGAGGCGGCGGCGCGCACGGUGCCGGUGGAGUUCCUCUACCCGCCCUACAACCUCACCUACAUGCACUACAUCGACACCAGCGGCGUCUUCCUCCGCUCCCCCAACGCCACCUUCUCCGCCGCCGUCUUCAACGCCGGCGCCGACUCCCCCGGCGACGACUCCUCCUCCAACUCUCCCCCCGGUGAUGAGACCCAGAUGUCCCGCUACUUCUUCUCCGUCCUCCACGACCGCUCCCGCACCCCCGUCUGGGCCGCCACCGCCGGCUCCACCAUCAUCCAGUCCAUCAUCCUCUCCCUCAACGCCUCCGGCCUCUACAUCUCCGACCCCGCCGACCAGUCCGGCCCCUCCUGGUCCACCCCCCGCCUCGCCGCCCCCGUCGCCGCGCUCCGCCUGCUCGACACCGGCCAGCUCGCGCUCAUCGACGGCGACAACGCCACGCUCUGGUCCACCUUCGACGCGCCCACCGACACGCUGCUCCAGGGCCAGGUCCUCCCCGUCGGCGUCCCGCUCACCGCCACCGCGUCGGAGCAGGACCUCUCCCCCGGCGCCUACCGCCUCCUCCUCACCCCCACCGACGCGCUCCUCCAGUGGGCAUCCUCCUCCUCCAAUGUCAGGCGUGACGAAGACUUGGUCACGUACUGGGCGCUCUCCUCCGACCCGGCCUCCGUGCAGGACUCCAACCGCGCCGUGCGAUCCAUGAUGGUCAACGCCUCCGGCAUCUACCUCCUCGCCGACGACGACGGCCGGGACACCGUCUUCAGCCUCCGCUUCGCGUCGCCGCCCGCGCCGGCCACCAGGAUGCUCCUCAAGGUCGACCCGUCCGGCCGCCUGCGCGCGCUCAGCACGGCCUACUCCCCCACGGCGGCGCGCGCCACGCUCCCCGCCGUCUGGGCCGCUCCGGCCAGCGACUGCGACCUCCCGCUGCCGUGCGGCUCCCUCGGCCUCUGCACGCCCGGCAACAACGGAUCCUCCUGCAUGUGCCCCGACGCCUUCACCACGCACACCACCGGCGGCUGCUCGCCGGCCGACGGCUCCUCGCUCCCUGUCCUGUCUGACAGCUGCCUCGCCGGCAACGCCUCCUCCACCUCCAAGCCGUCGGCAGCAUCCGCGGGGACUCCUUACAGCUACACGAGGCUGGGCGACGGGAUAGGCUACUUCGCCAGCAAGUUCGCGCUCCCCACGACGGCCGGCGACGCGCUCUCGGCCUGCCGCGACCUCUGCUCGGCCAACUGCUCCUGCGCCGGCUUCGUCUACAGGAACUCCUCCAAGUCCUGCCUCCUCCUGCACAACCAGAUCGGCUCCGUCUUCCGCGGCGGCGGCAACAGCGCAGCCGCCGCCGUCGCCUUCAUCAAGACGGUCCCGCCGGCUCCAUCUCGCGGCCAAGGCGGGGGCCGCGGCUCCUCGUCCCUCAGCACCAUCACCAUCAUAUUCGGCAUCGUGCUGCCCGCCGUGGCGGCCGUGUUCAUCACCUUCCUGCUGUACGUGCUGGGCGUGCACUGGCUCAAGAACCGCCACCAUGCCGGCGCCAACACCGGCAAGGCCAAGAAGAAGAAGCACGGCCACGGCGGCAGCAGCUGGUUCAUGCUGCACAUGAUGCCGUCCUUGUCGUCGUCGCGAGCGUCGUCCAACGUCCCCUCCGAGAAGGGGGACGGCGACGACAGCGAGGACGACGACGACGAGGUGCUCAUCCCGGGCCUGCCCACCCGGUUCACGUUCGUCGACCUGGAGACGGCGACAAACGGCUUCAAGUGGCAGAUCGGCUCCGGCGGGUUCGGCUCCGUGUACCGCGGCGAGCUCCCCGACCGGACCACCGUGGCCGUCAAGCGGAUGAACAACCUGGGCAUGCAGGGCCGCCGCGAGUUCCUCACGGAGAUCGCCGUCAUCGGCAACGUGCACCACGUGAACCUCGUCAAGCUCCGCGGCUUCUGCGCCGAGGGCGCGCGGCAGCAGCUGCUGGUGUACGAGUACAUGAACCGCGGCUCGCUCGACCAGUCCCUCUUCUUCCGCGCCGGCGCCGGCGCCGCCGCGAAGAAGAGGGACGUGCUGGAGUGGCCGGAGCGUCUCGGCGUCUGCGUGGGGGCGGCGCGCGGGCUGGCGUACCUACACGCCGGCUGCGACCGCAAGAUCCUGCACUGCGACGUCAAGCCGGAGAACAUCCUGCUGGACGACCGCGGCGGCGUCAAGAUCGCCGACUUCGGGCUGGCCAAGCUGAUGAGCCCGGAGCAGUCGGGGCUGUUCACCACCAUGCGCGGCACCCGCGGGUACCUGGCGCCGGAGUGGCUCAUGAACGCGCCCAUCACCGACAAGGCCGACGUCUACAGCUUCGGCAUGGUGCUGCUGGAGAUCGUGCGCGGCCGCAAGAACUCCAAGCAGGACGACGACGAGCACCACACCACCACCACCACCGGCAGCACCACCACCAGCGCCAGCGCCGCGUCGUCGGAUGGCGGCGCCGGCGAGGCGACCAAGCCCAGGAGCAGCUACUUCCCGGCGCUGGCGCUGGACCUGCACGAGGAAGGGCGGUACCUGGAGCUGGUGGACCCGAGGCUGGAGGGCCGGGCAGACGCGGCGGAGGUGGCGAGGGUGGUGCGCGUGGCGCUGUGCUGCCUCCAGGAGGAGGCGUCGGUGCGGCCGGCCAUGACGGCCGUGUCCGGCAUGCUCGACGGCAGCAUGGACGUGUGCGUGCCUAGGACCGAGCAGCUGGCGUACCUCAGGAUGUACGGGCGCGGCCUCGUCGACGUCCGGCCCGGCGGGUGGAAGGGGAAGUGGAAGGGCUCCGACAUGACCGCCGGCAGCAGCAGCUGGUCGCCGCCGUCGUGCGUGUCGGCGCAGCAGCUCUCGGCUCCCAGAUGA